CACUUUCCACACCGAUCUCUUGGCUCUCNCAUCGAUGAAGAACCCAGCGAAAUGCGAUAAGUAAUGUGAAUGCAGAAUUCAGUGAAUCAUCGAAUCUUUGAACGCACCUUGCACCCUUUGGUUUUCCACAGGGUAUGCCUGUUUGAGUAUCA
rnacentral:rRNA from 1 species